GAAUAAAGACAAACCUGAAUUCUGAGGGGAGCUUUGUAGCAUAUACUUGGCCAUGCCUGUAAACAGGCCAAAAUAGGACUACAAUUUCAAAAUACUAUCGAUUCUUUCUCAUUCCUUUGACAUUUGCCUCGCGACUUUUGCAUCAAUUUAGAGUAGGUAAAUUAUACUAGAACGUACAAAUGAUACGAACUGAAUAGAGCCAAUUCUAUUGCUGUACUUGUACUUGUCUUGCUAUUUACUACUGCAGCUUUAAUGGAUACAAGUUUAUGUGUAGUCACUCACAAAAGUACACACUAAUUGUCUGUUACGAAUGAGCCAUUCAAAAUAACCAGAAAUUCUCUCUAGCAGAGAUACAAGGUGGGAAUAUCAUGAAGAUGAGAUCAACAUGCAUAAAACAGUGGACAGAAACUCAAACACCCCCAUCCCCCCCAAAAAAGUAUUAUUUCACAACUUGUUGUUAAGGCAAAGAAGCAUAUAGCCUAGACCAAGAGGUCGUUAAAGAAUGUCGCCUUCUGGCAUCCACAUGCAAAGGAAGCGUUAAUAACAUAUUCUUCCCUCUUUCCUUCCAUACCUAAAGAGCCUCUUUGUCAAUCUGGUCAACAUGCCAGACACCGUGUUUGUCACAGGUUUCCUAGAUUUCAACUUUAUCAUCUUUAACUUAGACAACUGCAGAUCUUUGUGCAUACAAGCCGUCAAGACUACUAGGUCGAGUACAAUGGAUGAUAUCUUAUUCUCUGAACUCCUAAUGGGGCUAAUCUCUUAUGUACAGGUUUUGCAAUGGAUCUCACGUCCCAAACCCUUAGAUGUUCAUAAUAGCUACUGGUCAGCAAGAUAUAACUUGGACUCUUUGCAAUGUAACGGAUGCCUAUUGCAUGAACUUCCGUAUUGUGGUAAGCUAACUUACAAGGAUCAUCUCACAAAUCCCAGCAACUGAAUUUGCAGUCAUCCUGAGUUCCUGACAGUGCACAAAGCAGCUGUGGCUGGUGGAUAUCAAAAGAGGCAGCCAAAGCUCAUAAUCAUGUGCUUUUCAGUCUUAGGAAAUACUUAGUUGAGAUUCAAGGAUUGAUGUUACUACACGUAUUUAUGACAUAUCUCUAGCAAAUCGAUCCCUACAAGAAACAGAAGACCUUGUCAUGGAAGUAC
rnacentral:lncRNA from 1 species